rnacentral:lncRNA from 1 species
UUCACAGAUACAACCAUAAUAACCUUGAGAUAAUGCUUGAAGCAGUAAAGUGAGGACUGGAAAAUAAAUCAUGUGUCCUGAGGCUUCCACUCAACACACGCUAAAACCUCAAAGCAGACAUCAGUAUCAACAGAGAUCCUAGAGCAGCUUUUUAGAGCUGACUUGAGGAGAAGGUGAGGGGUCUCUUAAUACUAAUAGAGAGUGGGGGAAAUCUCAUUUAUUUUUUUUUCCAUUCUCUAGUGCCCCAGUCCCCAAUCAAUCUUUUGGUGGUAGCAGUAGUGGCAGCAGCAACAACAAAGAUACACAGAACCCAGACUCAUUCAGUAGAGGACGAGAUGGCUUGACUUCAGGGAAGAGACAACCUGACUUCAGGGAAGAUGACCUGCACUUUCCAACCCCUCUCCAGUUCCCCUCUCUGCUGACAGCCAUUUUCAUCACUCAAUAAAAUUCUCCACCUUUACUAUCCUUCAAUUGUCCACAUGACUUCAUUCUUCUUGAAUGUGGGACAAGAACUUGGGACCCACUGAGUGCAAGUACUCAGAAAGGCUGUAACAUCAGCCCUUUGCCCUUGUUGGAGGAAGGUAGCCACCCCACGUGACGCGGCAGCAUUGAGCUGCUAAAGGAGCAUCGUAACUCCCCCUCUAGGGCUUCAGGGUCACAGGCACCCUCACCUGGGCACUACUGCAUUCCCCUCUAAGUGACACAUCUAGUCUCGCUGUGGGCCCUGCAUGGAGUUUGCUCCUAUGUCAGCACCCAGAGAAGCUGGCCAGAUCCUGCUGAGAAAAAUCCUACAUCACCGAUGCAACCAGUUUUCUUGAACAGAUUCUGCCUAAAUUGUUACAAGCUUUUGGCUAAUUUCUAAAGUUCUGAUCAGGUUGAAUUUUAUUAUAUUUGCAAGUUUUUGUUGUUGCUUUUAUGGAGGAAGAAAUUUUUAGACAUCCUUCCCUAACCAUUUUCACUAACAUCACGUAACUAAAGAUUUAUAUCUGCCGUAUAAUUUAAUGUUUUUAUUUACUACAAUUUGUCUUUUUUCUUUUUUCCCUUUCUCUCUUCCUUCUCCUUUUCCUUCUCUUCCUCUUUUUCUUUUCUAAUUUCUGUUGCUCAGAUUGAAAUCUCUUCCAAUAGCUCAAAAUUUACAUAUGAUUUUUUUUCUUCUGGUGGUUACCCCUAAUUUACCAAGAAUCCACAAUGGGACACUGUUUUUCUGCCCUUUUUCUAAAAGUUUUAAAUGUUCAUUUCUUUCUCACAAAAAAAUGACAAAUGUAACACAACUAUAUCAAACUAUUCUUGUCAGCUGACUCCUGUCCCCAGAUAUUCUCAUAUAAUGUUGUUCACCUGGUGGGACACUAACACUGACUACCUGAUUAAAACUAUGCCUAUGUAGUCACAUGCAUCACUGAAAGCUCUAGCCUAAGCCAUCCUCUUUGACGUUCUUUCCCACCACCCUCUUCUUUACUCAUGGCACUUGAUCACAUUAAUAUUCCAAUCUGAUGGUGAAACACAUUUAGUUCUUUACUCCCUCAUGAUUUUUACACUUCUUUUUCUUUUUUUCUUCUUCUGUACUUAAAUAUUUUUCACUAUACCACUGUUGUCUUACUACAUGGUUCUGUUACCUAUUUUAAUCCUGAGGUCUGACAGUGUUUUUGGAAGGUGGAAAUUUCUCCAUUCAUUACACUUAGGUAAUAGCACCAUGUAAACCAUAAGAUGUUCCAUGAGAUAUAACUGAGCUCUGUGGGUUUAGUUACAUCCUGCAUGAAAUAGACUAUUUCAUAGUUACUUUGCUUAAAAGAUUAUUGUUAUCAACAUCAUGUUUUCAAUAAAUUUUUGCUUAAAAUUAAAAUAAUAUAUUUAAUUUGCUCUGUAUCACCA